GCACAGGCUCCUAAACCCAACCUCGUAUCGCCUCCUGCGAGUAGCUUCCAGGUGUCCACAGGGAGCCCGGGGUCAUGCUGGCAUCAUUCAUUCUCCACGCAUCAGAUGAUCCUGUGGCCCCUCAGUGCCAGGCCCCACUGGCCCUCUGCGCACAUCAGUGACUCUGAUGUUCUCCCCCACCGCAUGCUGCCAAUCUGAUGGUGGAGACAGAACAGCAGUCCCGGAUGGUCUCUGUGUUGUCACCUGGAAAAUGGAACUUUCCACCUCCUCGGGAUGUUAUGAUGAUAGAUGUAACAAGCUCAGCACAGUGCCUGUACAGGUGGAGGCAAUGCCCAGAGCUGUGGCAGCCACCUUGCAGCCGUGAAGCACCAGUGGGAAUGACAGUCAAGAGAACCACGGAGAUGCCAGCCCCUGGACCCACAGCAGCAGCACCUGCUUCCAGACUCAGAGUGUGAGAAAAAAAUAAACUCCUAUUUGUUUAUGGCAAGGACAGGGGCUGGGUCCCAGGCCCCCAGCCUCAUGCCAUCGUCUGCAAAACAGCCAGGGCCGCGUGCUUCUGUCUGAAGGGCUGAGCCUUGAGGUGGCCUGAGCCGGAGGCCCCUCAGCUCCCUGGGGACCAGAAAGUCCGCUGACAGCACCUCUGAG
rnacentral:lncRNA from 1 species